rnacentral:rRNA from 1 species
ACCGCAUAGAAGUAAAGAGAUAGAGCUGCAAUGUCGCUUCCAAGGCUCAGCUUGACGGCACUGGGUGUUCGGGGCACAGAUCGUAUGACUGGGCUUCGUUCGUACCGGUGUUUGUUUAGUGCACUUCUUGGGAGUGAGCACUGCGACCGGUAUCUGUGCUGGUAGAAGUUCGAGUUAUCGCGGGCAGACCAAUUCGGUAUCUGUUUCUCAUUUCUCGAAGCCUACCUGGUUGCGGGGACCGUGGAACUUUGCGCUGGCUUGUCUCGGACUGUUUGGUAGGACGUCAACUGAAAGUCUGCCAUCUGCUUGCAGGUGGUGGUAACCCUUGGCGUUUGUAACAAGCUUUCCCGACUUGUCGCGAGGUGUCAGCAGUGUAUGUGUCAGCCACCUAUUUCACCCGUCUUGAAACACGGACCAAGGAGUCUAACAUGUGCGCAAGUCAUUGGGUGCCAAACCCAAAGGCGCAAUGAAAGUAAGCUUCACUUGUGAAGUCAAGCAGGAUCUCCAUUCGUGGAGCGCACUGCUGUCCUGUCUUAUUUGCAUCGCCAAUUAGGCAGAGAAAGAGCGUACCUGUUAGGACCCGAAAGAUGGUGAACUAUGCCUGAGCAGGAUGAAGCCAGAGGAAACUCUGGUGGAGGUCCGUAGCGAUUCUGACGUGCAAAUCG